CGGAGGGAAAGAAACCAACAGGGAUUGCCUUAGUAGCGGCGAGUGAAGCGGCCAAAGCUCAAAUUUGAAAUCUGGCUCUUUCAGAGUCCGAGUUGUAAUUUGAAGAAGGUAUCUUUGGGUCUGGCUCUUGUCUAUGUUUCUUGGAACAGAACGUCACAGAGGGUGAGAAUCCCGUGCGAUGAGAUGAUCCAGGCCUAUGUAAAGUUCCUUCGAAGAGUCGAGUUGUUUGGGAAUGCAGCUCUAAGUGGGUGGUAAAUUCCAUCUAAAGCUAAAUAUUGGCGAGAGACCGAUAGCGAACAAGUACAGUGAUGGAAAGAUGAAAAGAACUUUGAAAAGAGAGUGAAAAAGUACGUGAAAUUGUUGAAAGGGAAGGGCUUGAGAUCAGACUUGGUAUUUUGUAUGUUACUUCUUCGGGGGUGGCCUCUACAGUUUAUCGGGCCAGCAUCAGUUUGGGCGGUAGGAGAAUUGCGUUGGAAUGUGGCACGGCUUCGGUUGUGUGUUAUAGCCUUCGUCGAUACUGCCAGCCUAGACUGAGGACUGCGGUUUAUACCUAGGAUGUUGGCAUAAUGAUCUUAAGUCGCCCGUCUUGAAACACGGACC
rnacentral:rRNA from 1 species